GCCCGAGUGGUGAAAUUGGUAGACACCGCGGACUUAAAUCCGCUGCGCCCUCAUCGGCGCGUGCCGGUUCGAUCCCGGCCUCGGGCACCA
rnacentral:tRNA from 1 species